CAGAGUUCUACACUGUCUGUGGACAAAGAUGGCGGUGUCCUCUGCAGAGAUCCUCGUCAGUAGGUUGGUGUGGUAGGACUGGAAAUCCAUGCCCAAAUACAUUCCAAUGCUAAACUGCUCUGAGCUGUGCCCAGACUCAUUGUCCUCAUCAGAAGAUGUGUAGAGGCAGCUGUGAUGACAUCCCUGGCUCUGAAUUGCACUAUAAACAAAAAGUUGCUGUUCAACAAGAAACAUUACUUCUAUGCAGAUCUGCCCGGGAGUCUAAACACGACUGAUAUGAGGGGGUUGAUACCAGAGAACUGCUUCUUGAAACAUAAUUGAUAGUCCCUGGCGCACACAAAGGAUUCUUUGUUAGAAAUGAAAUGUGUGUCUUUAUGGUGAUACACAAAUCAUUUAUGUUAAACACUUUUUUUGUGCUGAGGAAGCCUCUAGUUUUAAAGUUCCUCAGUUCGUUCUUCGCUUCUGACAUUGAGAUUUGGAAAGAUGAAAGAUAGAAUAUGGCUUAGGUGGCAUGUAUUAAUCCACAUCUACAUUCAGUGUGAAAUGCUUCCUUACAAUAUAACUAUUUUAAUGUCUUUUUGCCUUUCUUGUUUACUUAUUUACCCAAGAGCAUAGCAGAGUGUAAGUAUUAUUUAGCAUGGUACCCCUUACAGCGUGCACUGCAUUAAGCAAGCAGGGGGCAGGUCUAGCACUGUGAUGACUGAGCUGCUAUGUGGUCCCUUCUUGAUGCAUCAACUUGCCUGCAGCCCAAACAGCACAGCAGGGGGAAGAGGUGACUUGAGCAAUGUGAAAUUAAAGCAAGGAGACAGGCCUGCUGUUACAGUACUGGCAUUAUAUUCCAUUUACAUGGAGAUGGUAGUUAAAUUAAAAGGUAUACAAAUAAUAUCUAUAAGGAACAGGGUUUGUUGGCGGAAUAUUUAUACCAGUAAUAAGUCACAUUGAGUUAUGAUUCAUAACUAUUAAAGUAGCUGUGUGGUGCCUUUGUUUUGUAUCGCAAUACAUUUCAUGU